rnacentral:rRNA from 1 species
AACGAACGCUGGCGGCGUGGAUAAGACAUGCAAGUCGAACGGGAUUACUUUUGGUAGCAAUACCGAAAGUAAUUCAGUGGCGAACGGGUGCGUAACACGUGGGCAAUCUGCCGAAAAGUGGGGGAUAGCUCGCCGAAAGGCGAAUUAAUACCGCAUGUGGUGAGGGACGACAUCUUCCUGAAUCCAAAGCCGGGGCAACCUGGCGCUUUUUGUAGGAGCCCGCGGCCUAUCAGCUAGUUGGCGGGGUAACGGGCCCACCAAGGCUAUGACGGGUAGCUGGUCUGAGAGGACGACCAGUCACACUGGAACUGAGACACGGUCCAGACACCUACGGGUGGCAGCAGUCGAGAAUUUUUCUCAAUGGGGGAAACCCUGAAGGAGCGACGCCGCGUGGAGGAUGAAGGC